GCGGUAUCAUCCUUUGGAGUUCACUACACAUCAAUCCUCUUCAUAUGUUAGAACAUCCAGGGCCUUUCCCAGUUCAUUAUGUUUUCAGAGCUGUAACCUUUUUCAGCUGGAUGCACACUUAUGGAAGCCAGGGAUCAGUCUUGUGGCGGUACAGCUGUUCCCUCAUGCAAGAGCUGUGCAAGAAUGGAUCUAUCCAAUACCCAAGGACUUCCAAAAGACAGUACAAAAAAAGAUAAUCGGUGUUUCUCGACCUCCUGGCACAUGGCAAGGAGAGCUCAAAGUGUGAAGAGGAGGAGAGAAGUAACAACAAGUAACAGACUAAUGAAUAAAUGCAUGAUACGUAAAUUUCAAGAAGAAAGAAAUUCUCUCCACCUGGAAUUUUCUUUUUCUGCUUUUCCAAUAAACUAUGUGGGAUGUUUUAAAAUAUUACCCCAAAUUUACCCUUUUUCCUUUUUAACUUUUGUAAAUGAAAAAAGUCAUUUGCUUCUAAUCCCUUUGUUGUUAUUUAGCAAUUUUUAA
rnacentral:lncRNA from 12 species